rnacentral:misc_RNA from 1 species
UUUCCGUAGGUGAACCUGCGGAAGGAUCAUUAAAGAAUUUGCCCCGUCCUCUCGAGGAUGGGUCCUCUUCUAAACCGUGUAUACAUACCUUUGUUGCUUUGGCGGGCCGCCGUCUCGGCGUUGGCUUCGGCUGACUGUGCCCGCCAGAGGACCCCAACUCUUCUGUUUAGUAUUGUCUGAGUACUAUAUAAUAGUUAAAACUUUCAACAACGGAUCUCUUGGUUCUG